rnacentral:rRNA from 1 species
AGUGAACGCUGGCGGUAGGCCUAACACAUGCAAGUCGAACGGCAGCACAGUAAGAGCUUGCUCUUACGGGUGGCGAGUGGCGGACGGGUGAGGAAUACAUCGGAAUCUACUUUUUCGUGGGGGAUAACGUAGGGAAACUUACGCUAAUACCGCAUACGACCUACGGGUGAAAGCAGGGGAUCUUCGGACCUUGCGCGAUUGAAUGAGCCGAUGUCGGAUUAGCUAGUUGGCGGGGUAAAGGCCCACCAAGGCGACGAUCCGUAGCUGGUCUGAGAGGAUGAUCAGCCACACUGGAACUGAGACACGGUCCAGACUCCUACGGGAGGCAGCAGUGGGGAAUAUUGGACAAUGGGCGCAAGCCUGAUCCAGCCAUACCGCGGGGGUGAAGAAGGCCUUCGGGUUGUAAAGCCCUUUUGUUGGGAAAGAAAAGCAGCAGGUUAAUACCCCGCUGUUCCGACGGUACCCAAAGAAUAAGCACCGGCUAACUUCGU